AUUCCCAAGAAGGAAGAAGGAAGGACUCUUUUGAAGACUUUCGGCUUCUUUCCGGUAUUCAACGUCCGUCUCUCUCUAUCUCAAGCCAAGAAAUUGUUUGCUUUCCCUAACAUUUAAACCCAGACAAACUUCUAAACUCCAUCCCACACACUUUCCCUUUCCUCUCGAUGAAACCUCUCAGUUGCAGGCUCUUCCCCUGCGUCUCCCCUCUUCUUCUUCAACUGCCAUGCAACCCGUCUCCCUCCGAGCACCCGCUCUUCUUCAAGCCCUGACCUGCGGAAAGAAGGUGGUCCAGCCCUAAUCGCUGGUGGCUGUUCUCAUAUGAGGUCGUUUCUGAAACAUCUAUGUUAACCUGUUCUCUCUCUCUCUGGCUAAGGCUCUGCGUCUGCCAUGGCCGACGCAGCUCUUGAGUUGUCCCAUUCUUGAGGACUUGGUAGGUACUCGGAGAAGAGCACCUCUGCUGAUGCUACUCAUAGUUCUGAAGGAGAUGGAAUACGAGAACAGAUUGUUCUGAGUGACAGUUCAUCACUUCUUCGUUUGGAUGAACAGUCACUAAGUGACCCAACUGCGAAUUUAUCAUAUAGUAGGAUGUAACCUGGUGAAGGGGUCGAUGUCAGGGGAAGACAGAGUGAGGAUGGAAUUCUGGAUUCCGACACCGUGUUCUCAUGGUUUAUCAACAACCCAUCUCCUCUUGAGCAAAUGGUGGGAUGGCAGCGAUCUAGACAAGAGAAGAUGCAUAAAGGACAGGAAAUCCUUCAGAUGCUUGAGAAAGAGUUUUACUUUUGCAGAGCUUGUGUGAGAGGAAGUGUGAACAUUUGAAUUAUGAGGAAGCGUUGAAUAAUGUUGAAAACCUGUGCAUCGAUGAGCUUAAGAAAAGAGAGCAGAACAUGAAGGUUAUGCCUUGUAGUUAUGAGGCAAUACUAAGGAAGUGGCAGG